UAGAUAAAGCCAAAUAGAGGCUUAUCACUGUUAAUGAUAGAAAUGGUAUAUUACCUAUCUGA
rnacentral:tRNA from 1 species